UACGUAGGGACCUAGCGUUGUCCGGAAUUAUUGGGCGUAAAGAGCUCGUAGGCGGUUUGUCGCGUCUGCUGUGAAAACUCGGGGCUUAACUCCGGGCCUGCAGUGGGUACGGGCAGACUAGAGUGCGGUAGGGGAGACUGGAAUUCCUGGUGUAGCGGUGAAAUGCGCAGAUAUCAGGAGGAACACCGGUGGCGAAGGCGGGUCUCUGGGCCGUAACUGACGCUGAGGAGCGAAAGCGUGGGGAGCGAACAGG
rnacentral:rRNA from 1 species